AGACAAGCACGUGUUCCGGUGUUAUGGCUGCCGAAAUGGGGAGCUGGUCCCUUCACUAUGUAUCUUUAAAUGAGGCUGCUACAAAGUACUCCAGACCGUGGACAAGAGGACAGUGGAAUUGCCUUUCCCUACGUUGCUUAGGCCAACGGUGCACUGGUGUUUUGCCUGCAUGUAUGUCUGUGUGAAGGUGUCAAAUCUUGAAGUUACAGACAGCUACUUGGAGUACAGACAGUUGUUAGCUGCCAUGUGAGUGCUGUUGCCGUUGGUGCUCUUAACCGUUGAACCAUCUCUCCAGUCCCCAACAAAUAUGUUUUCUGUAUGUGUGGAAAUAAAAUUUUA
rnacentral:lncRNA from 1 species